rnacentral:rRNA from 1 species
AACGAACGCUGGCGGCAUGCCUAACACAUGCCAGUCGAACGAGACCUUCGGGUCUAGUGGCGCACGGGUGCGUAACGCGUGGGAACCUGCCCUUAGGUUCGGAAUAACUCCCCGAAAGGGGUGCUAAUACCGGAUAAUGUCUUCGGACCAAAGAUUUAUCGCCUUUGGAUGGGCCCGCGUUGGAUUAGCUAGUUGGUAGGGUAAAAGCCUACCAAGGCGACGAUCCAUAGCUGGUCUGAGAGGGUGAUCAGCCACACUGGGACUGAGACACGGCCCAGACUCCUACGGGAGGCAGCAGUGGGGAAUAUUGGACAAUGGGCGAAAGCCUGAUCCAGCAAUGCCGCGUGAGUGAUGAAGGCCUUAGGGUUGUAAAGCUCUUUUACCCGGGAUGAUAAUGACAGUACCGGGAGAAUAAGCUCCGGCUAACUCCGUG